UUACGACCAUAGCACUCUGAAACACGGGUUCCCGUACGAUCAACAACAUUAAGCAACGUCGAGACUAGUCAGUACCUAGAUGGGUGACUGUUUAGGAAUAUUAGGUGCUGUCA